rnacentral:rRNA from 1 species
UACGGGGGGAGCAAGCGUUGUUCGGAUUUACUGGGCGUAAAGGGCGCGUAGGCGGCGCAACAAGUCACUUGUGAAAUCUCCGGGCUUAACCCGGAGCGGCCAAGUGAUACUGUCGUGCUAGAGUGCGGAAGGGGCUACUGGAAUUCUCGGUGUAGCGGUGAAAUGCGUAGAUAUCGGGAGGAACACCAGUGGCGAAGGCGACUACCUGGCCUGUUCUUGACGCUGAGGCGCGAAAGCGUGGGGAGCAAACAGG